rnacentral:rRNA from 1 species
ACGAACGCUGGCGGCGUGCUUAACCCCUGCCAGUCGCACGGAAAGGCCCUGCUUUUGUGGGGUGCUCGAGUGGCGAACGGGUGAGUAACACGUGAGUAACCUGCCCUUGACUUUGGGAUAACUUCAGGAAACUGGGGCUAAUACCGGCUAGGAGCUCCUGCUGCAUGGUGGGGGUUGGAAAGUUUCGGCGGUUGGGGAUGGACUCGCGGCUUAUCAGCUUGUUGGUGGGGUAGUGGCUUACCAAGGCUUUGACGGGUAGCCGGCCUGAGAGGGUGACCGGCCACAUUGGGACUGAGAUACGGCCCAGACUCCUACGGGAGGCAGCAGUGGGGAAUAUUGCACAAUGGGCGGAAGCCUGAUGCAGCAACGCCGCGUGCGGGAUGACGGCCUUCGGGUUGUAAACCGCUUUCGCCUGUGACGAAGCGUGAGUGACGGUAAUGGGUAAAGAAGCACCGGCUAACUACGU